GAGGGGAUAUAAAUAGUAUGCCUUUAAACGCUUAUAUUGUAGGCUAUCAAGCCUACUCAAUAAAUAUAAAAUUGAACUUCAAAAAAAGACAGGCUACUGUGUUGAAAAUACAUUGUGUGAAGGGCACUGUGUAUCUGCACACAGAAGACAAGAACGCAAAAUGUCAACAGCUCUGAAAGGUGGAGGAAUGGAAUUUCCCAUUCUCUUUCACUUUCCCCACUUGAACUUUCCUUGUUUUACAUAUUACCUCAUCCAUGGCAUAUCAAUGAGGGAGACUAUAAAGGUAGGGCAGGUAGCCCAACGUUUAGAAGUAGUGAUCAGGGAUUUAUCAACUCACCGGACACAUGGCCACUCUUAAUGUCUCCUUUGUGGUACAUCUUCUGUGUGUAAUUGUUCUUUACCCGGUUGUUUAUGCUAAAUGCAGUGACCAAAAGGAGCAAAUGUAUAAUCUUUCUCAAACUCGCCAGACACUCAAUGAUCUUGCCAUGGUUGGUCAAUUUCUUUAACCUGUUACAAAUUGACCAUAUAGGCAGAGACAUAUUUAGAAAUAUGGGUCUGAAUAUAGGCUGUAACAUGGAUGUGAUAUCACAAGUUAUUUAUUAUUGUUGAAAAUUGAUUAUUUGAGCUUAAUUCAUUCCUAUAUUUAGUGUUUAUUUGAGAUUUUGUGUAUUUUGUGUGUGGCAUAGGAGAGGAGACCAAGAGGCUGUAUCCCAGAGGCGGAAAUGAUAAUGGUCCAACGUCCAACGCUUUCAAAAGAGGAGGUGGAAAAGGUUUGGACACUGAGACUUGCGUUUCAACUAGCCAGCGAGCUCUUCCAACAAAACCUAACUCUUGUGAAAUGGAAUUCCAUCAAACUCAGGGACCUUCAAGACCUUCUUGCUCGACAAUAUAUGACCUAUUCGGAAUGUGUCAGAGACAUGCGUCUGCGUCAAAACCUUCCAAUUGGUGAUAUGGUUAAGAACUACUUCAAACAGCUGGACGACUUUCUUUCACGUGAGAGUUUCAGCUUGUGCUCAUGGGAGGUCGUGAGAACUGAAAUGGGGAGCAUCCUGAGGGAUUUUUACAAGAAAUCAAAAAUGCCAAGAAAACACGUGUGAGAGUAUCAUUACUUUUAGUUAAUUUCUGCAAAACGUGUAAUUUUUUUGUAUGUUAUUUCUCCGUGUUGCAAAUAAUUUCAAUGUAGGUUAUAGUAUUUAAAUGAAGAUGCAAACAGACUUACAUUGGUUGAAAUUGCGCUCGCAAUUUUGUAAAAUUCUGUGGUGUGAUGCAACCUUGAAAUACGAGUUUUUCGUUGAAAUGUUUUCCUAAAUGAGAAAUUAUUCCUACUAACAAUUGCAUAUCAACA
rnacentral:lncRNA from 13 species